UACAUGCAAGUCGAACGCUUCUUUUUCCACCGGAGCUUGCUCCACCGGAAAAAGAGGAGUGGCGAACGGGUGAGUAACACGUGGGUAACCUGCCCAUCAGAAGGGGAUAACACUUGGAAACAGGUGCUAAUACCGUAUAACAAUCGAAACCGCAUGGUUUUGAUUUGAAAGGCGCUUUCGGGUGUCGCUGAUGGAUGGACCCGCGGUGCAUUAGCUAGUUGGUGAGGUAACGGCUCACCAAGGCGACGAUGCAUAGCCGACCUGAGAGGGUGAUCGGCCACAUUGGGACUGAGACACGGCCCAAACUCCUACGGGAGGCAGCAGUAGGGAAUCUUCGGCAAUGGACGAAAGUCUGACCGAGCAACGCCGCGUGAGUGAAGAAGGUUUUCGGAUCGUAAAACUCUGUUGUUAGAGAAGAACAAGGAUGAGAGUAACUGUUCAUCCCUUGACGGUAUCUAACCAGAAAGCCACGGCUAACUACGUGCCAGCAGCCGCGGUAAUACGUAGG
rnacentral:rRNA from 1 species